UCCAGAAAAGCCUCAUUGAAAGUAAAUCUUAUAAAUUAGAACCUAAAUUGCACAUUAAAUGAGGCAAGCAAUCAACACAAAUUUGAGUCUUUAUUCAGAACAUAUGCGCGCCUUUGACAAUACUGGUGUACCCCCAGACUUCAAAUCAUGGGUUUGCCUCUGAAUGGAAAGGUUAAUCUGCACAUUAAUUCUGAAUGAGUAAAAUUAAAAACAAAUUGUUUUUAGAAAGAUUUUAGAGGAUAAUUAAUAUCUUAUUAUUAACCGUUUACUUUUUUCUAGGGAUGCUUUUUACUUAGGGUGAAAUUCAGAAAUAGCAUACUUAUCCCCUUAAUUAGAGUCAAUUUCUUAUAUUGUCACUCAACUUAGAAAAAUAUCUCACUAAAGUCAUUUAUCUUUUUUUUAUUCCAAUAAUGUCAUUCAAUUUUGUAUAUUUUCCUUACAAACUAAUAAUUGCUAAAAUAGUCCUUAUUCUUUAAGAGAAGAAUAACCAAAAUGGUUCCUUAAGUUAAUUUUGAAUUGGAAUGAUCUAUAUUCUUUAACAACAUGAAAUACUGAUAACUUUUUCACUAUAGAAAAUUGUGCGUAGAAUUUUAAUUUAACUUCUAGUUGUAAUACUAAAAUAAUAUAGUCCACCGAAAAAUGCGAUUGAUAUUGUUAAAAAAACUUAUAUGCACUCUAUUUAUUUGAAAACUUAGGAGUUCAAUGGUAAAAUAAUGUUUUGUAUUAUUCAUUUUAUGAUUAAUCUUUAUUUUUUGAUAAAAUAGUUAAAAUUUAGUUGUUAGUUUCUUCUACUUCAAAAACUAAUGUCAUAAAAUUCAUAAUUCAUAAAAAGACGAUGAAUUCCUUCAAAACCCCUUCCCCCCAAUAUAUAUAUAUAUAUAUAUAUAUAUAUAUAUGCCUCUAGCUAGUAGAAAAAUAAUCAUAUAUAAAUAUUUUAAAGAAUUUAAGGACAUCAUGAUAAUAUCAUAAAUCAUUUAACAUCAAACAAAAUUAGAAAAUUUCAUGUAACCAUUAUGUAAUUUUAAAAUGAAAGUUUUUCAAAUAUUAUUUUUAUCAAUCUUGUGAUACUACCUCAAAAAAAAUUAUAUUAGCUCUUCAACCUGACUCUAAAAACUAAAUACAUCUCUCAAUUUUACCUCUUUUUGUUUUUCAAUAUUAUGAUAUGUCUUUUUAAAUUACAUUACUCCCCAUGUCCUAUUUUAAUUGGUCAUCUUAUUAAAAAUAAAUAAAGUCAAAAUAGAAUUAAUUAAUUUUUUCUCAUGAUAUCCCUACAAUUCAUAGUAUACAUUAUAUGUGAACAGUUCCGGUUUCAAUGUUCAUUCUUAUGACUAAUGAAUAUAAUUAAUAUUGUUAAAGAGUAAAUUAGUAAAAUUUGUCAUUCUAUUUAUGAUUUCUUAAUCACUGUAUAAAAUGAAAUACAGCCAACUAAAAUGGGAUAGAAAGAGUAUGUAAUGAAGUAAAAAACUGAAAUGUAUUUGAAGUUAUAUUAAUAUUUCAUAUAAAAGAAUAAAGACUAUUUAAAUUCACGAUUUAACUUAAGCGGCUAUUUUGACCAUUUUUCUCUCAAAGAGCAAGGAUUAUUGUAGCAAUUGUUAGUUUAUAAGGAAAAUGUACAAAGUUGAAUGACAAUAUUGGAACAAAAAAUUGAUAAGUAACUUUAGUGAGACAUUUCCUUAAGUUGAGUGACAAUAUGAGGAAUUGACUCCCUUAAUUAUGAGUUUCAUAGCAACCGUUUCAUAAUUACAUAAUAUAGCAAGUUGUAUUUUGUACUUUUGUAAACUGUUGCUACAAAAAUACAAAUACAUAUGAUUUUUACUGCCCUUAUGAUCGAUAUGUAUUUUGUAUUUUUGCAAAUUGUUGCUACAAAAAUACAAAUAAAUAUACUACAAAAUGUAAUUUGAUAAAAGUGUUGCUAUUUUUUUGUAAUUUAAUACUUAAGUAUACUACUUUAUGUAUUUUUUUCCUUUUACUUACACACACUAACCAUCAAAAUUUUUAAUCAACCUUACCAAAUUGAUAACAUGUAUAAAGUAGAUUUGCAAUGUGUUUUUUCUGUUAAUUUUUUUAAUCGGAAUUAACAAAAGUUUUUAUAUGUUUCAUAUAAAAAAAUAUAAAUAUUUUUUUAUGUAAGAUAAAUUACCUGUGACGUCCCUUUUACUUCAUAUUGUAUCAUGAUUGAAUGUAAACUAUCAGUAUUCAUAUUAUAAAAGAAAUAAUAUUCUCGCUUGUGAUUUUUGUUUUUGAAUACUUUAUGUAUUGAUUAAAAUACGUAAAUAUGUAUUUUAAUGAAAAUCUUUGCUUGGAAAUACUAGACAAUUUGAGAAAUUUUGGGUUUCAACUAGUAUAUAUUUUCUGUUUUGUUGAAGAAAGAAGAAGAAUAGGCUUGACGUAGAGAAAAACACAUCUUAAUUUUGAAAAAAAUGGGGAAAAAAUAUAUUUUUAAAAAAUUAUUAUUUUAAUCUAAAAAAUAUUGUUAUAAUUUAUAAUAAACAAUCUAAUAUUAUAUAUUUACAUUUUUUUCCCAAUCUAUAAUCAAAUGAUACCUUUAACUCGGAUAAUUCAUCAAAGGAAAAAUUACAGAAAGUAGCAUACUUAACACCAUAAUUACAAUAAAUAGCAACACUUUUUUUAAAAUUACAGUUUAUAGCAAAAGUAACAUUAUUUUGCCCAUAAAUUUCAAAAAAUUGUGUUUUACUUCCUCUCUCAUAUUUAUCACACCCCUUUUUCGUCCGAGAGGGUCGAGUUGAAAGGGUUUUCCAAUUAAAGUGACAGUUUUGAAUAGGAAUUAAUUUAUUUACAGAGUCGUCACUUGAAAUUGAGUUAUGGUGUUUCAAGUUACCUUUUUGAAAUCCUAAUCAAAAGAAAAUGACUCUUUUAUUUUGAUCUGAGAAAACAGAAGACCUGGUAAGGAAUUCUAUUGAUCGAAGGGAAUGUGUGAGGCACCUCUCGAGUCCCGUGGUUCUAUCACGGUCGCUUUUAUUGACUUAUCUUGCCUUAAACUAUUUUUGAUAAAUUAUGUUAAGGCCUAAUUUUGGUCAUUUUUAUUAAACUAAAAAUGUCUAUCAAUAUCUUUUAAAUUAAAUAAAUUAGUGAAAAUUAAUUUUAAAAGAUAUUUGUCAAGGUGCAUUAUUGCAUCCUUGAAUUUAAAAUAUCUCAUAAAGAUGCAUAUGUCGCAUUCUUAAAUGAGAAGAAUACUUUAAAAUAUGCCUAAAAUUUGUCUAAAUAUUAAAAUAUUAAUUUAUCUUUUUGUAAAAAAUUAUAACAAUUUAUCUGUUCAAAAGGCUAUUUAACCUUAACAAAAUUUUGAGCAAAAUUCAAUCUAGGCCAUUAAUUCGAUAAAUAAUUAAGUUUUAUUAAUAAACAAAUAACAUAAUAAAAUAAAUAAAAUUACCCCUAAGAAAGAAAAACAAAAAUAAAAACAUUCUGUUUUAUAUAUCCUUUUUCUAAAAAGACAGAUCUAAGUAUGCACUUUUGUGCUUAUUGACCAAAGACAGGGAAUGGCAGCCAUGACUGGCCGCCUCGCCGGCGAUAGGGAAGGAGCUAAGGGGUGUGUCGACGCGGUGGAAAUAGGGGAGAUGGGACAGCGGCGAUGCUGGUUCGCCAUUGGCCAGAAAUGGAGGAGGGACAACGGUGAUGACAGAUCUGGCCGUUGUCGGGAGAAGAGGAGAAGGAGCGACGCGGCGGCGAGGGUGCGCCUGGGUCGUCGGAGAAGGGGAAGGGAAGAUAACAGCGACGGUCCCAACCGGCUGAACUUCGCUGGAGUUGUAUAAGGAGGCUAUUUUCGGUCUAAAAUGGGGCGGGCAGUGGUAUGGUAGUGGCAGAUUUGGUGUAUUCCGGUGGAAUUUCGCCAAAAAUUUUGGCCGGAAUGGGUUUUCAUGUUUUCCAUUCACUUGCUUGCUGCUUCCGAUAUCACUGUCGAUUUACACCUAAACUUCAUCUUUUCUGAUUUUGUUUUUGUACUAAGAUUGAUUGUUUGUGGAGUUUUUAAUGGGUUUUCAGUGAGUUUUUCAUCGAAUUAUUCAGAAAUAAUAAAUUUUUAUCUUAUCUUUUUUAACUUCAUACCCCUCCCGUUAUCUAUUCCAUUUCUAUGGGUGUUGAAAUCAGUGAGGUCUGUGUGAAUGGAUAUCCUUUGUGUGUGAUGUGUACAAAUUGAUGAGUUACUGCCUAUGUGAGUGUGAAUUAAUGUGUGAAUGAACUGUGUGUGCUUGUACCAGUGUAUGUACAUCUCAUAAGAGAAAAUGCAGUAUGUGUAAUGGUGUAUACAGUGUAUUUACGUAUGAGUGUUGUUACGUCCAUUUUUUUUCUUAAUUCAAUACAAUACAUACAUAAUAUCACAUAUUAAACCAUGAAAUUAUCAACGUAACAAUGAACAUGAUUUGAUUCACUAAAAAAUUCAUAAAAUAAAUAAUAUAAAAUUUACAUAGAACCUGAUGAUGAAUUAAAACAGCAGUUCGAACACUGUAACCGGAAACUCCAAAAGAAACCGAACAUCAACCUAUUUCUUUUUUUUUUGUCUUUUGUGAUGUUUUUGUUUUUCUCCUCUCUUUAUUUUCUCUGGUUUUCUCGAUCUUUUUUGGAUGCAGUAACAGUGUAGAUAUCUGAUAAUGUGUAUGUUGAAUUCUCUGGAAGUGGGUAAGUUCUUAAAUAGUAGGAUUCUUGCGGGGGAAAGGUUAAUAUCAAAUAUAAUAUUGGAUAGAAUAUUUAAAUUUGAAUUAUUAUUAUUAUUUUUUUUAGAAGAUAAUAAUAAUAAAAAUAAAUAAAU
rnacentral:lncRNA from 1 species